rnacentral:rRNA from 1 species
AUUGAACGCUGGCGGCAUGCUUUACACAUGCAAGUCCAACGGCAGCGCGGGCUUCGGCCUGGCGGCGAGUGGCGAACGGGUGAGUAAUGCAUCGGAACGUGCCCAGUAGUGGGGGAUAGCCCGGCGAAAGCCGGAUUAAUACCGCAUACGACCUGAGGGUGAAAGCGGGGGACCGAAAGGCCUCGCGCUAUUGGAGCGGCCGAUGUCGGAUUAGCUAGUUGGUGGGGUAAAGGCUUACCAAGGCGACGAUCCGUAGCUGGUCUGAGAGGACGACCAGCCACACUGGGACUGAGACACGGCCCAGACUCCUACGGGAGGCAGCAGUGGGGAAUUUUGGACAAUGGGGGCAACCCUGAUCCAGCCAUGCCGCGUGCGGGAAGAAGGCCUUCGGGUUGUAAACCGCUUUUGUUCGGGAAGAAAUCCUCUGGGCUAAUACCCCGGGGGGAUGACGGUACCGGAAGAAUAAGCACCGGCUAACUACGUG